rnacentral:rRNA from 1 species
AUUGAACGCUGGCGGCAGGCCUAACACAUGCAAGUCGAGCGGAUGAAGGGAGCUUGCUCCUGGAUUCAGCGGCGGACGGGUGAGUAAUGCCUAGGAAUCUGCCUGGUAGUGGGGGAUAACGUCCGGAAACGGGCGCUAAUACCGCGUACGUCCUGCGGGAGAAAGUGGGGGAUCUUCGGACCUCACGCUAUCAGAUGAGCCUAGGUCGGAUUAGCUAGUUGGUGGGGUAAGGGCCUACCAAGGCGACGAUCCGUAACUGGUCUGAGAGGAUGAUCAGUCACACUGGAACUGAGACACGGUCCAGACUCCUACGGGAGGCAGCAGUGGGGAAUAUUGGACAAUGGGCGAAAGCCUGAUCCAGCCAUGCCGCGUGUGUGAAGAAGGUCUUCGGAUUGUAAAGCACUUUAAGUUGGGAGGAAGGGCAGUAAGUUAUUACCUUGCUGUUUUGACGUUACCAACAGAAUAAGCACCGGCUAACUUCGUG